rnacentral:tRNA from 1 species
AUUGACUUGGCAGAUUAAUUGUGUCAAAUUUAGAAUUUGAGUAGGGUCUAUUGAUAGCACCAGUUAAUA